CCCUCGUCGGCCUCUUCACCCCUUCAUUUCCACUCUUUCCCCAUUCCCUUCCAAAUCCCUACACUAGGGAAACCCUAGUUCUUCGUCGCCUCCUUCCUCCUCGACGACGAGCCCUCGUCGCUCCUUUGCGAGGCUCCUGCUCCGGCGGCGGUCCGGUGAGGCGCGACGCGUCGCCUCACUCUCGGUCUUCUUCCCACUUCUCACUCGGUUCUUGCUCGAUUCACCCCCACAUCGACAUCUCGCUCGAUGCCAUCUUACCCAUUUAAGCAAGUUUUGGUCUCCAACCUUGAAGCAUGAGGGGCUGAUCAUCUACGGCGAUCAACACGUUGCCUCGGCCCAACGUCCGUCAGCAGUCGAGGCAACAACUGGUGCUGAAAGUGCCGAAGCUAGUUCUCUUUUCUUUCCCUUUUUGUAAUAGAGUAGUUUCACGUGUAAAUUUUCUUUCUUCAACAUGUAAUAGCUAGUUGGUGUAUGUUUCAUUUUUUUCCUUUAUUUUCAUCGUCGAUAUUUGUAAUCCAAGACUUCGCUAUUAAAUCUAGAUGUUGUGUUUUGUUUACUCAAGAAAUAAAUGAAUACUCUCUCGUC